AUUACAAUGAAUCUUUCCUCGUCUCUGUAGGACCCGACUCACAAGAACGUGUCCUAUCAAGGAAGCAUCCUUGAUGUUGGGAAACAGCAACAGUUUGGAAACACUUCAGAUGAAGCACAAAUCUCACCUCUGUUUCACUUGAUGAGGCUGGAGGGUAGAAAACAUGCUUCUUGAUGGUUGAUAAGAACUUUGCAGUGGGGGAUUUUUUCCCCCCACAAGAGCAUGAAGGACAAUAAAUAAAUGGUGCUGCCAAGGCCCAGGUUUUGUCUGGAGAAGAAGGAAGGUUUCAAUUAAAGCCUCCUUCAUCUCCAUCUCUUCUUCAUGAGUGGAGUGGAUCUAACGGGUAAAUC